CCCUUUGAUGUCCGGGGCCGCACGCGCGCUACACUGAAGGAAUCAGCGUGGCUUUCUCCCUGACCCGAAAGGGUUGGGAAACCCGUUGAAUCUCCUUCGUGAUAGGGAUUGGGGCUUGAAAUUGUUCCCCAUGAACGAGGAAUUCCCAGUAAGCGCGAGUCAUAAGCUCGCGUUGAUUACGUCCCUGCCCUUUGUACACACCGCCCGUCGCUACUACCGAUUGAACGGUUUAGUGAGGGCCUCGGAUUGGUCUCGGCCCGCUCUUUACCGGGCGGCGCCGUUGGUCGAGAAGACGCUCGAACUUGAUCGUUUAGAGGAAGUAAAAGUCGUAACA
rnacentral:rRNA from 1 species